UCUCAGGAGCAACCUGUUGAAGAUAACCAAACAAAUGAUAUUCCCGUUGAUAUGCAAACUGAUGAGCAACAUGUCGUGGCACCGGAAGAAGUUGCAGCAGGAGAAGGUACAGUUGAAAGCACAAAAUAUAUAAGGGACCCCGGUAUGCGCCAGCAAAUUUGGGAACUCCCUCAUGAUGAGCAAGAAGAAGCACGUCGUUUCUAUAUUUUGAAGGGAGCUUAUCAACCAUACAUGAAAGAAUAUCCAUAUAAUAAAGCAGGAAAAAAUCAUCAUCGAUUUCAAUACAGUUAUUUCAAUUCUUUUCCUUGACUUGAGUAUUCGAUGGAAACACAUCGUGCGUACUGCCUACCUUGUUUUCUCUUCACAAAAAGGUCAAGUGGACAGUGUGGCUCUAAUGCAUUCACUGUCAAGGGAUUUAAUAAUUGGAAGAAGGUGAAUGGUGGAAACGAAUGUGCUUUCUUAACUCACAUGGGCAAAGAUUCCAACUCUGCUCAUAACUUUUCUCAUGAUAAUCUGAAAAAUAGUGUGACUCACAUCGACAAGGCAAUGGUGAAAGUGUCUGACAAAAAAGUUGCAGAUGCAAGGCUAAGGCUUAAAGUUACAAUUGAUUGCAUCAAGUGGCUAACAUUCCAAGCUUGUGCUUAUAGAGGCCAUGAUGAAUCUCCGGGAUUAAGUAAUCAGGGUAAUUUUCUUCACCUAGUGAGGUUCUUGACGUCUUAUAGCAAAGAGGUGAAUGCGGUUGUUUUGGAAAAUGCUCCAAAGAAUGCGAAGUACACCUCCCAUAUAGUGCAACUAGAAAUACUCACAUUACUUUCUAGUAGAGUUAAGAGAAAAAUUAGAGAUGAAAUUGGUACUAGCAAGUUUUGCGUAAUGGUAGACGAAGCAUGAGAUGAGUCUAAAAAUCAGCAAAUGGCAAUGGUUCUUCGAUUUCCGAGCACUGAGGGGUUCAUACAGGAGCGUUUUCUUGAUAUAAUUCAUGUCACUGACACUAUUGCUUUGACUCUCAAGAAGGCGAUUUGCAAAGUCCUUUCUGAUAAUAAUUCGAAUGUCCAAGACAUUAGAGGACAAGGCUAUGACGGGGAAAGUAAUAUGAGAGGUGAAUGGAAUGGAUUGAAAAUCCAGGACUCCCUCAACUGCCCUUAUGCAUACUAUGUGCAUUGCAUGACUCAUCAGUUACAGUUGGUGCUUGUUGCGGCGUCAAGGGAGGUACAUGAUGUGCAUAACUUUUUCCAAAAUGCAAAUUUCAUUAUAAAUGUUGUUAGCGCAUCAACUAAACGUAAUGAUGAUUUGUUAGAAAAUAAAGUUGCAGAGAUUGCACUCCUAAGGAGUAUAGAAAAUGACCGUGCAGCCUCGAAAUAUUCUAGAGGAGAUGCCAUAGGAGCCCUAAAAAUAAUUAUGUCCUUUGAUUUUGUGUUUAUUUUACAUUUGAUGGAGAAAGUCAUGAAAAUCACUGAUGUUUUAUGUCAAACACUCCAAAAGAAGUCACUAGACAUUCUCAAUGCAUUAGAUUUGGUCUCAAACACAAAGUUGCUACUUGGUAAGCUGAGAGAAGAUGGUUGGGAUCCCCUUUUAAGGAAGGUUCAAUCUUUUCGUUUGAAGCAUGAGAUUGACAUUCCUGAUCUGAAUAAGAGUAACACUACUACAUUACAUCACUACAAAGCAGAUGUGUUCAAUGCUGCCAUAGAUUAGCAAUUGGUUGAGCUAAACGAUCGCUUCGGUGUUCAAAACACAGAGCUUUUGACACUUUGUGCAUGUAAAGCUGCUACAUACUCAAUGGUUGAUAGAUUACUACGGUUGGUCAUAACUCUUCCGGUGUCAAUCGCGACAACCGACCAAGCUUUUUCAGGUAUGAAACUAGUCAAGACACGUCUUCGAAACAGAAUGAGAGACGACUUUCUUCAGCAUUACAUGGUCAUCUAUAUUGGGAAGGAAAUAGCUGCAAAGAUCACAUCUGAUGAGAUAAUCAAUUUGUUCAACACUGGUGGUCGUAGAGCUCAUUUUAAGCUAAUAGAUAUGUAA
rnacentral:rRNA from 1 species